ACUGAUUGUAAAUUGGGCGGCAAAAUGAAGGCGCGAGAGAGAGAAAAGGAGAGGUUUUAGUACUCGCUGAGCUCGUCGUAGAUCUCAAUCUUCCGGCCAUUGAGCGGCUGUACUGGUCGGGCGUUGUUCUUAUACACUGGAUCCAAUGGCGCCUUCAGUGCUUCCAAUUGUUGCUGCGAAAUUGUCCUCACCUGCGAGGGGUUCGGGUUCACCGAUUUGGAGGAGAAUUGCAAUGACGGAGAGGGUGCCGUCUUCUGCCUGAUGGAUUAGAUGAAGCUCGGCUGCAUAUCUGUUCAAAUCGGAAAAUAAGGAGGUAUCUUCAAAUUAAAACCUUCUCACAUUUUAUAUAACAGAUGAACUUGAGCAGAUUUAGAUUGAUUUUUAAGAUGAAAUUCGAAUCAGUAUUCUUAGUCCAUCUGGUAUUUUAGACUGUCUAGGAAUGAGGCGUUUCAUGAAUUAUCAGUAAUUAAAAUAAAAUCAGACUGUUUCAGAGAGAAUUUGAGUCAAAA